GACGAACGCUGGCGGCGUGCUUAACACAUGCAAGUCGAACGGAAAGGCCCUGCUUUUGUGGGGUGCUCGAGUGGCGAACGGGUGAGUAACACGUGUGUAACCUGCCCUUGACUUUGGGAUAACUUCAGGAAACUGGGGCUAAUACCGGAUAGGAGCUCCUGCUGCAUGGUGGGGGUUGGAAAGUUUCGGCGGUUGGGGAUGGACUCGCGGCUUAUCAGCUGGUUGGUGGGGUAGUGGCUUACCAAGGCUUUGACGGGUAGCCGGCCUGAGAGGGUGACCGGCCACAUUGGGACUGAGAGACGGCCCAGACUCCUACGGGAGGCAGCAGGGGGGAAUAUUGCACAAUGGGCGGAAGCCUGAUGCAGCAACGCCGCGUGCGGGAUGACGGCCUUCGGGUUGUAAACCGCUUUCGCCUGUGACGAAGCGGGAGUGACGGUAAUGGGUAAAGAAGCACCGGCUAACUACGUG
rnacentral:rRNA from 1 species